rnacentral:lncRNA from 1 species
GAACAUAUUGGUUAGAAGGAAAAGCUGCCCAAGAUGAAACCACACCAAAAAUAAAUCCCAGGCAGAGUAGUGACCUUGGUAACAUCCUUUCCAUCAGUAACAAUAUUGGUUGCAAAAUAAACAAAUGGGAUAACAAUCUUUAGCCCUACAACAAUCAAAUCGGAAGUAGCACAUAAUAAUAAUGAUACACAAUCUAGUCGCCUAAACCGCCACCCACACCUCGUAAGGCCUGCACCCCCCUUCAAAAACGGAUCCGAUUACACAUAAGAGAACCAGGUACGGUAGCUUCUUUGUUAAAUAAGAGUCUUCUCCGCAACUAUCUAAGUUGUCUUGGACUUGGGGGCCUUCUUCUUGGCCUGCCUCUUGGGGACCGAGUUCUUCAUGCCCAGGAAGAAGAGAAGGGCUCCAAACAGCGCCAGGUUCUGCAGUUAAAAGGGAAUCACAGGAAGUUAGCUACCAAUGGGACAUUCCUUGUUCAACAGACAUGCAAAAAACAGGUGGAUAUUUGCUUCAUACCUGUGUGAACUUCAUGAAGAUCUGCACAAAUUCAGCCUUCUCCAUGUCGUAGUUGUAGAAGUCAUAGACGACGGGCGUGAUGAAAGCAAGGUAGAGAGCCUGCCGGAACAAAUACCUUUCAUCAUUAGAUAAGUGCACAAGGAGGAAGCAGAGACAUAUCAACACAGCACAAAUCAACAUAGUGGAAACAGGGUCGGUCAAAGGUGUCUAAAACUUCAAUUGGUCACACUUGUCAUAUCACGGUGUCCACAGAAACAAAUAAGUUAAAAACUAAUGUGUUCUCAUUAGGACAUCAUGCAGCAAAGUUGUGUUCUCAUUUUGGGACAUCAUGCAGCAAAACGUGCACAAAAGCAGCACCAGAUAGAACCAAGACCACAUCAAUCAGCAGUUAUCAACCAUAAUAUUCACAAGGCACAAUUAAAUGGGCUAACAAGCAGAAUGCAGGUUUUGAUAAAAUCGGCAUCACAUUUAUAUCAGAAGCGAGGAUGGUACCAGAUGGGCAAAACACAACAGUGACAUUAGCCACUUGCAAAAAAUUAGAGGAAACCAGUGCAGACGACAAAAAAUAUUUUAUAAAAUGUACACAUCUAGUAAUAUAAACACAUGAUAUGGGAGUAUAACAGUUCCUGAAAGCAAAAUACCAUGAAAUUUAGAAGAAAAAAUUCUUUGUGACCAGAUUUGAUAGAUCUAGAAGAACCUAGAGAAACGCAGUUGCCCUAGCUAGGUGAGCAGUACAGUCUCAAUCAAUAUGCUCAUGCUUAAAUUCUAAAGAACAGCCAAAUGACAAAGCCUUCUGCAGGAUAAUAUUCAGUAGCUUUUGGUUUGGAAAUAUUUAUUAGAUAAAUGGCAAUAUUUGAAUAAAAUGAAAUAGGGCGUUUGUGCAUGCACGGCCCUAUAUAACUAUUGAAUCUAACACAAGAGAAAUUCCCUCAUUACUCUAGAUAUGAAAAUCAAUUUUAGCAAUGUGCACUGAUAUAAAUGUGAAUGCGUAGAUCACAACAAGAAAUAUUAUACAGCAUAACAACAGAUCAGUACAUACCAGGAGAUAAGCACCAAAUGAACUGCUGACGAUAAACAGGAG